ensembl:miRNA cja-mir-491 cja-mir-491
GGAAUUGACUUAGCUGGGUAGUGGGGAACCCUUCCAUGAGGAGUAGAACACUCCUUAUGCAAGAUUCCCUUCUACCUGGCUGGGUUGGAGUC